AUUGAACGCUGGCGGCAGGCCUAACACAUGCAAGUCGAACGGUAACGGGAAGAAGCUUGCUUCUUUGCUGACGAGUGGCGGACGGGUGAGUAAUGUCUGGGAAACUGCCUGAUGGAGGGGGAUAACUACUGGAAACGGUAGCUACUACCGCAUAACGUCGCAAGACCAAAGAGGGGGACCUUCGGGCCUCUUGCCAUCGGAUGUGCCCAGAUGGGAUUAGCUAGUAGGUGGGGUAACGGCUCACCUAGGCGACGAUCCCUAGCUGGUCUGAGAGGAUGACCGGCCACCCUGGAACUGGGACACGGUCCAGACUCCUACGGGAGGCAGCAGUGGGGAAUAUUGCACAAUGGGCGCAAGCCUGAUGCAGCCAUGCCGAGUGUAUGAAGAAGGCCUUCGGGUUGUAAAGUACUUUCAGCGGGGAGGAAGGGAGUAAAGUUAAUACCUUUGCUCAUUGACGUUAACCGCAGAAGAAGCACCGGCUAACUCCGUG
rnacentral:rRNA from 1 species